rnacentral:rRNA from 1 species
AACGUAGGAGACAAACGUUAUCCGGAGUUACUGGGCGUAAAGGGCGUGUAGGCGGUUUGUUAAGUCUGGCGUGAAAGCUCUCGGCUAAACCGGGAGAGGUCGUUGGAUACUGGCAAACUAGAGGACGGUAGAGGCGUGUGGAAUUCCGGGUGUAGUGGUGAAAUGCGUAGAGAUCCGGAGGAACACCAGAGGCGAAGGCGGCAACCUGGCUCGUAACUGACGCUCAUACACGACAGCAUGGGGAGCGAACGGG